UAAAUACUCCCUCCGUUUCAUAAUUCUUGUCUCAAAUUUGCCCAAAAAUGGAUGUAUCUAUUCCUAAAAAGCGUCUAGAUACAUGUAAUAUUUCGACGAGAAUUAUGGAAUGGAGGGAGUACUAG
rnacentral:pre_miRNA from 1 species